GUCAACAUCCUCCGUUACUGCAUCCUAAAACACAGUGGCAAACAGAUGAAUGAUCUUGACAAGUGUCUCAUAGAAAACAGAGAAAAAAUCUUGUCUUUAGCAAAAAUUGCAAUGAAACAAUGAACUUGACAGAACUGAGCUGCGAAGUAAGCAGUGUCCAGUUUUCUUUCUUGGGGGCGCUUAUGAUUAUGGUCGAGCCCACAGUAUCGGACACUUACUCUGCAUUUCUCCAUUACACAAUGCAGGAGUUCGUUGGUGCCCUUUGGCUCUUACAGAAUCCAGACAAAAUCAGAGAGUUUCUACAGAAGUGCCAGACUGAAGAAUGGAAACACACAAAACACAUGGUUCCUUUCAUGUGUGGGCUUCUGAAUGAGAGGAAUAUUCGAUUGGUAAAUGGUCUUGUUCCAGCUCAACAGAUCAAGGAGACGUCAGAUUGGUUCUUCAAGGAAGUGGUGAACACAUUUCUUCCACUUCAAACAAACCAAGAUCAUGCAGAAGGUGGUGCUCCUGAGUUUGAGGUAGAUCUUCUGUUUUUAUGUCAGUGCUUGUAUGAAUCUCAGUCUACUGAGGCCUGUUUGCUUCUUCUGGACAAACUGGACUACAAUCUACACCUGGAUGAAGAACAUCUUGAUCCUCACCAGUGCUGUGCAGUCUCCUAUAUGAUCAGUCAGUCUGCAGAGAGAAAGGUUGACUUGGACCUGAACAGCUGCACUGUGUCAGACCAAGGACUAAGGCUGAUACUGGGCUCUCUGAAGAAUGUCCGAUAUCUCAGAUCUGACCCCUCAAUGCUGUGUCAACUCUGGACAACUUUGCUGAGCGGUGAGGCAGACAUUGACUUCACCAGCUUGCUUGGUCUCUGUGGAAAUGAGUUGCGCCUUCCAUUCCUGGGUGAAAGACGAGUGUUUGAGAGAGCAGAAGAAGUGAUGAAGCAGAGCCUGGAGAGGGUUAACCUCUGUCUACACUGGGAUCGGACAACUCUUCUCAGUGAAGCUCUCAGCAAGACCAUUUUAAAGUGUUUAACACAUAUCAACAAACUCAGUUUUACUUCACCACAGGAUCAGAGAAGAUCCCCUGAAGAGUGGAGAAAGAGAGAGAAGACAUUCCUACUGAAUCUGUGUCUUCAAGCAGCCCUCCAUGCGAGAGAACACAUACAAACAACUGUAGAGAAAGUGUUUUCAUUGUCUGAAGUUUAUCAUGAUCGGAAAUGGGAUUUCCUGCUGGAUCUGUACUCACAUGUGAAGGACUAUGAGACUGAAACAGGCAGGAGUGUCCUUCCAGCAUUACAGCCAGUUUACCAGUCAGCUCCUGCAGUCUGGUCCAUAGACCUCUCAGAGAGAAAGGCCUCCCUCCUCCUAGAAGUGCUGAAACUCCAACCAGAGAAGAAACCAGUAGAGCUGGAAGGCUUGUCAGAUGAAGAGAGUGAAGUGAGGAGUUUCCUUCAGUGUCUGCCCUACAUCUCACAGCUGAGUUUCUAUCCAUGGUGGUCUGACAACUCAAAGCUGAUCAAGUUCCUGGUGGGUCUCCUGUCUCAAGCAGCAGAGUGGGAGGAGCAGUCAGGAGAGAAGACACUGAAGCUGCUAUCAUCAGUGUUUACUUACAGCACUUUCCCUCUCUAUGACUGGGAUGAUUAUCAUAAGUGGUUUCAAUGUGAUUUCCUGCUGGAUCUGUGCUCACAUGUGAAGGACUAUGAGACUCAAACAGGCAGAAGUGUCCUUCCAGUAUUACAGCCAGUUUACCAGUCAGCUCCUGCGGUCUGGUACAUAGACCUCUCAGAGAGAAAGGCCUCCCUCCUCCUAGACGUGCUGAAACUCCAACCAGAGAAGAAACCAGUAGAGCUGAUGAAGUGGUCAGAUGAAGAGAGUGAAGUGAGG
rnacentral:lncRNA from 1 species